ensembl:misc_RNA Y_RNA Y RNA
GGCUUGUCUGAAUAGAGUGGUGUUUAUAGCUAACUGAUAACAACUGGUUACAAAUUUCUUUGUUACUUCUCUACUCCCAUUGCUUCACUUGACUAACCUUUU